AGUGAACGCUGGCGGUAGGCCUAACACAUGCAAGUCGAACGGCAGCACAGUAAGAGCUUGCUCUUACGGGUGGCGAGUGGCGGACGGGUGAGGAAUACAUCGGACUCUACUUUUUCGUGGGGGAUAACGUAGGGAAACUUACGCUAAUACCGCAUACGACCUACGGGUGAAAGCAGGGGAUCUUCGGACCUUGCGCGAUUGAAUGAGCCGAUGUCGGAUUAGCUAGUUGGCGGGGUAAAGGCCCACCAAGGCGACGAUCCGUAGCCGGUCUGAGAGGAUGAUCAGCCACCCUGGAACUGAGACACGGUCCAUACUCCUACGGGAGGCACCAGUGGGGAAUAUUGGACAAUGGGCGCAAACCUGAUCCAGCCAUACCGCGUGUGUUACGAAGACCUUCCGGUUGUAAAGCCCUUUUGUUGGGAAAGAAAAGCAGCCGGUUAAUACCCCGCUGUUCUGACGGUACCCAGAGAAUAAGCACCGGCUAACUUCGUG
rnacentral:rRNA from 1 species